rnacentral:rRNA from 1 species
CAAGGAUUCCCCUAGUAACGGCGAGUGAACCGGGAAGAGCUCAAAUUUGAAAUCUGGCGUGCUCAGUGCGUCCGAGUUGUAAUCUAUAGAGUCGUUUUCCGUGCCGGACUGUGUCCAAGUCCCUUGGAACAGGGUAUCAAAGAGGGUGAUAAUCCCGUACUUGACACAAUGACCGGUGCUCUGUGAUACGUCUUCUACGAGUCGAGUUGUUUGGGAAUGCAGCUCAAAAUGGGUGGUGAGUUCCAUCUAAAGCUAAAUAUUGGCGAGAGACCGAUAGCGAACAAGUACCGUGAGGGAAAGAUGAAAAGCACUUUGGAAAGAGAGUUAAACAGUACGUGAAAUUGUUAAAAGGGAAACGAUUGAAGUCAGUCGUGACUGAGAGGCUCAGCCGGUUCUGCCGGUGUAUUCCCCUCAGUCGGGUCAACAUCAGUUUUGUUCGGUGGAUAAGGGCAGUUGGAAGGUGGCACCCUCGGGUGUGUUAUAGCCAGCUGUCGCAUACAUCGGAUGAGACUGAGGAAUGCAGCUCGCCUUUAUGGCCGGGGUUCGCCCACGUUCGAGCUUAGGAUGUUGACAUAA